CCGCCGCUUCUUCUCUGCUUCACUCGGGUUCUUUCGAUGUCUCCAAUUUUCUUCCUUUUCCUCUUGAUUCCACCACCACCAUCCCAAGACUCUCUCGAUCUGACUCUCAAAAGAGAUCUGAAAUUUGUCUAGGAUAAAGAAAACAAAGGUGUAUUGUACCAGCUUGGGGUAAGAACAAGUAUGUCAGGAUGAAAGUACUUCUGCCGCGCCACGGACGAUAAGGAGUAUGCCAGUCUUUAAAGGAGAGGGUUAUGCGGUUCAUGAGGAUCUUCUAAAGAGUAAAAAUUCUCAAAGACACCAAAUACAGCAACAUGGAUGAAAACACUAGAGAAGUUGCAAAGCGUAUUGGAUCCAAAAUCUAAAAUGAUGACCUCAAGACCUAUUUUGGGAAUGCCACAGAGAAUUGGCAGAUUGAGUACCUAUUUGAGUGCAGUCAGAUCACAAUUACUGUACCAGCUAUAAAAGGGAUAGAGAAUGUACUAGUGCUUAGUGCUCUGCUCAAGCAAAUUACAUUAAGAUUUAGGUAAAGGAAAAUUGUGGUCUCUGCUCUGCACAAGUUGACAGGAUUUGGGCCGGAAAAGUUGAUUCACAAUACUUACUGGCUCUUAAUGAAUCUCAAAGGCAGUGGUAUUGGGUACUAUAUCUGCAGUGUAUUGUAACCACAGGUCAACUGUGAAACUUGUUUGGGGUCCACCUGCGACAGGAAAAACCAAAAUCAUCAGUAUAUUACUGCAUAGCUUGCUAAGUAUGAAUUGCAGAACACCUGCUUGUGCCCCAAAAAAACAGUGCCGCUGCUGAACAUGCGCCUCAUAUAUUAAACCUUCACAAAGAUGCUCGCGGAUUGAAGUUAUGUGAUGAUCUUGGAAAGAUUUAUGUGGAUCAUCGUGAGGACAGUCUUCUCGAGUGUUUUGCUCCAUUAACUGGUUGGAAGAAACAUUUCAAUUCCAUGGUAUUUUAUUGAAAAUUGUGCAUCUCGGAAUCGUUUACCUUUGGAGAAUGAAGUAAUUACAGAGGUUCAUGUACAAGUUUGCAAAAGACCGAUUGAGAGCUUUUAGAUGUACCCGUCAAGAGAAGCAUCAGAGUAUUAUGCAUCCAUCUCCCUAAAAGACUUAUUUUGCCAGAGAAUCUUGAAAAGAUGGUUACUCGUUGUGGUUUGCUUGAAUCUUUUGAAAUUUUGCUCUCUCAAAGUCGGGUAACUGACAAGGAAUUGGAGGAACUCUUUGCACGACAAGAAAAUUAUUCCAAGGAGGCACAAGGAAGUCGGGCAUCGAAUGAGGAUUGAAAGUGCAGGUCCUAAGAUAUGUCAGUCAUUCUCUUGCUGAUCGCCUUCCAAGUUCCACCAACAGAAGUUUCUUAACAGAGUUCUGUUUGAAAAAUUCAUCCCUCAUUUUGUCCACAGUGUCAAGCUCAUAUAAUCUGCAUGAGGUAGACCUAGAACCACUGGAUUUGUUGGUAGUUGAUGAAGCUGCUCAGUUGAAAGAGUGUGAAUCAGUGAUUCCCGUGCAGCUUGAAGCUAUAAAACACGCUGUCCUAAUUGGCGAUGAGUGCCAUCCACAAGCUAGGAUCAAAAGCAGGGUAUCUGACGAAGCUGGCUUUGGAAGAAGUCUAUUUGGAAGGUUGGGUUUGUUUGGACAUUUGGAGGACCUUCCCAACAUGCAGUACAGAAUGCAUCCUAAAAUAAGCUCUUUCCCAAACCACAAAUUUUAUAAAGACCAGAUUAGAGAUGUUUGAAGUGUUCUUUGAGAAAAUCUUCAAUGUUUAUCUACCAGGACCUAUGUUUGGUCCCUACUCAUUCAGAAAGUGAACAACCAAUAGCACUAGGUGAAAGAGUGUUGAUUUUGUUUUUACAGAGAGAAAAAUUGAAAAACCCACUUGAAUAUACAUUCUCUCUACUAGUGCUAUUGGUUGUUCACUUGCUCGAAUGCUAAUGCACAAGAUGAAAAGACCCAUGUUUCUAAUGAAGGGAGGAGCUAGAUGAAGCUGGGCAUAGUAUGAAAAAUAUGGUUGAAGUGGCAGUUGUAACGGCAAUAGUGCGAAACCUUUAUAAAGGAACGAAUAGCCGAUUUUUGAAGUUCCGGUAGGCAUAUAUUCACUGGCCCGCACCGAGUCAGACUUUAUAUGUAUGUGGCUGGGAGCAAAUGUCAUGCUAGAAUACACAGGUGAAGAGGCCAGUGCUCUUCUACAAAAGAAGCUUGAUGCAAGCUUAGGGGUCCUUAUUGGUGAUCUACAAUUCUUAAGAGACCAAGUGACGAUAACACAGAUCACUAUCGCUCGGGUGUACAACUGGGAUGCUCACCAGCGCAGAAGUAAGCAAGUUGCUGCAACUGCUGUGAAAGACUCCUGAAGGCUUUUUAUUAUUGCAUGGCCUUUUCCUAGUUACCCUAGUCAGAUUUUUUUUUUAUAUUAGUAGGCGAGGAAUUCGGUGGCGAUCAAAUCCGAAGCUUCGCUCUUGAAAGCAAUAGUUUUCAUGUCUCACUCGGAGACAUUAUUGGCAUCGGGGUCUGAUGUUUACAAGAUCUGGACAGUUUUGCAAAGUCGUACUUUUUGCCAACAUUGCCAACAAGAUUCGAGUUUCAACUCCAAUAACCAGAUAAAUACACUAGCGACCAGAUGGUGUACAACUCAAGUUAAAGCGUUUACGGUAUUGUUUGAUUAUUUUAUAUUAUACUGUUUAAUCUUGAAUAUCAUAUGCAACUGUUAAUCUAUAUAUAUAUAAGUAAACCCUGGAAGAUGGUGGGAAUAUAAUUUUAAAAAAGGGCAUAUACACAACCAGCAGUAUUUCUGUUGUAUAAUCUAUAUACGUGCGUGCCACUCUAUAUAUAUAUAUGGAUAUACGAGUAAUAUAUUGAAUCGUGUAA